AGUCCGAAAGGAAUGGAAUAGAAGUGUCAGCAGCAGUCUGGAUCAGCUCCAUCCUCUCUCGGAGCUGGCAACACUGAUUCCUGGUCCGGGGCCGGACUGUGAGAUCCAGGUAACCAGCAGCUCCAGCAAAGCCCUGCUGGCUCUUCAAGGCAUUGAAAUUUCAGGUGGAAUAAAGGAUGAGAAGGGAUAUUUGGAAAGAGCAUCUGUUUGAGCAGAGAGGCAAAGGUCUGGCUUUCACAAGAACUGCCUGAAAAAAAACCCCAAAGGAGUUGAAAAUCCCCCCCUGGAGAGCAUCAGCAGGCACCCAGAAUACAUCUCCAGGGUCACUUAAUUCCCUGGAUCCUACCCAACUGCUAUUGAAGUUAAUUGAAAAAACUCCCAUUGCCUUGAAGAGGUUUUGGAUCCAACUCAAACGGCUCAGUGGCAGCAGAUUACAAGAAGGAACCCCACUGUGCAAUUCCAGCCAUCUGCCUAUGGCUUCUGGGAUGGACGGAAUCCUUCUCCUAGUAAAGCCACCUCUGAAGGACUGGAAACGUGCAGAUUUUUCAUCUGAGUUGCU